rnacentral:rRNA from 1 species
GAUGAACGCUGACAGAAUGCUUAACACAUGCAAGUCAUUGGCGAAGCUGCGCUUGCGCAGUCUAGCCAAGGCGGACGGGUGAGUAACGCGUAAGGAACUUGCCCUGCAGACAGGGAUAACAGACGGAAACGACUGAUAACACCUGGUAUUGUCAGGCUGGCGCAUGCCGGCCUGAUGAAAGGAGACGCUGCAGGAGAGCCUUGCGUCCUAUUAGCUAGUUGGUGGGGUAACGGCCCACCAAGGCGAUGAUAGGUAGCCGGCCUGAGAGGGUGAACGGCCACAAGGGGACUGAGAUACGGCCCUUACUCCUACGGGAGGCAGCAGUGGGGAAUAUUGGACAAUGGGGGCAACCCUGGUCCAGCAAUUCUGUGUGCACGAAGAAGGUUUUCGGAUUGUAAAGUGCUUUCAGCAGGGAAGAAGAAAGUGACGGUACCUGCAGAAGAAGCGACGGCUAAAUACGUG